rnacentral:rRNA from 1 species
AGAGUUUGAUCCUGGCUCAGGAUGAACGCUGGCGGCGUGCCUAACACAUGCAAGUCGAGCGAUUUACUUCGGUAAAGAGCGGCGGACGGGUGAGUAACGCGUGGGUAACCUGCCCUGUACACACGGAUAACAUACCGAAAGGUAUGCUAAUACGAGAUAAUAUGCUUUUAUCGCAUGGUAGAAGUAUCAAAGCUUUUGCGGUACAGGAUGGACCCGCGUCUGAUUAGCUAGUUGGUAAGGUAACGGCUUACCAAGGCGACGAUCAGUAGCCGACCUGAGAGGGUGAUCGGCCACAUUGGAACUGAGACACGGUCCAAACUCCUACGGGAGGCAGCAGUGGGGAAUAUUGCACAAUGGGCGAAAGCCUGAUGCAGCAACGCCGCGUGAGCGAUGAAGGCCUUCGGGUCGUAAAGCUCUGUCCUCAAGGAAGAUAAUGACGG